AAUAAUUAAGAAGGAGAUGGUGGGGAGACUAAUGUCAAUAAUUCACUUUUGAACAGGUUGAAUUUGAGAUGCCUAAGAGACAUUUGAAAGGAAACAUCAAAUAGAAAGCUCCAUGGACUGUUGAGGAGCUCAGAAGGAAGAUCUGAGUGGGACGCCUAAGUUUGGGAGUCUUUAGUGUAUAGAAGAUGCAAUGAAAGCCACGGCAAUGGACAAAAUUACUUGAGGAAAUAGUACACACGUCCUAGGCCCCAACACCUCAUUGAAGAAUGAGAGUUCCUGUCUUGCUGUCUUCUAGACCCGUGCCAAGGGUGGAAUUAGAUGGAAUUGCCCCUUGAACCCCCUGGAGCUGAGAAAGCUGCUCCUGGCUCCACACUGUCCGCCGUCUCGGCUCAUUUCUCAAGCCAAACGCUUGGGGAAGCCUACAGUAAUUCCUGCCCACUCUUCACUUUCUCUCCGCGGCAGCUUCACAUCCUCGGCUCUAACAACGCACUAAAAGGUGCGGCAGCCAUCCGACCCCGAGCAGGCCCCCCACCCCGUGGAGUCAGUGGGCGAAUGGCGCUUGGGUGUCCCCAGCCCUGACGGCUCAGGGCCUACACUGGCCCAGUGGCCCUGGGGAGGCUGGGGCCAGUACUCAGGGCAGGGCCACCGCCCCCUUACGCUGGCACCCCACUAGCUGCAAGAGUCUCCUGGGGGAACUGGGUGAUUCCCCUGGGCACCUGCAACAUCCUUUCAGUCUCCUAAAAUAAGAA